AUUGAACGCUGGCGGUAUGCUUAACACAUGCAAGUCGAACGGUAACAGGCUCUAGCUUGCUAGAGUGCUGACGAGUGGCGGACGGGUGAGUAACGCGUAGGAAUCUGCACUGUAGUGGGGGAUAACCUGGGGAAACUCCGGCUAAUACCGCAUGUUUUCUUCGGAGUAAAGCUGGGGAUCUUCGGACCUCGCGCUAUUAGAUGAGUCUGCGUCAGAUUAGCUUGUUGGUGGGGUAAUGGCCUACCAAGGCGACGAUCUAUAGCUGUUCUGAGAGGAAGAUCAGCCACACUGGGACUGAGACACGGCCCAGACUCCUACGUGAGGCAGCAGUGGGGAAUAUUGCACAAUGGGGGCAACCCUGAUGCAGCAAUGCCGCGUGUGUGAAGAAGGCUCUAGGGUUGUAAAGCACUUUCAAUUGGGAGGAAGCUUAAUUUGUUAAUAGCUCAUGCAGAUGUCGUUACCUACAGAAGAAGCACCGGCUAACUCCGUGCCAGCAGCCGCGGUAAUACAGAGGGUGCGAGCGUUAAUCGGAAUUACUGGGCGUAAAGCGUGCGUAGGUGGAUACUUAAGUCAGAUGUGAAAGCCCUGGGCUUAACCUGGGAACUGCAUUUGAUACUGGGUAUCUAGAGUAUGGUAGAGGAAAGUGGAAUUCCCGGUGUAGCGGUGAAAUGCCUAGAUAUCGGGAGGAACAUCAGUGGCGAAGGCGACUUGCUGGACUAAUACUGACACUGAGGUGCGAAAGCGUGGGGAGCAAACAGGAUUAGAUCCCCUGGUAGUCCACGCCGUAAACGAUGAGAACUAGAUGGAGGAAUUUAUAAUCCUUUAGUAUCGUAGCUAACGCGAUAAGUUCUCCGCCUGGGGAGUACGGCCGCAAGGUUAAAACUCAAAUGAAUUGACGGGGGCCCGCACAAGCGGUGGAGCAUGUGGUUUAAUUCGAUGCAACGCGAAGAACCUUACCUGGCCUUGACAUCCUUGGGAUUUCGCAGAAACGUGAAAGUGCCUUCGGGAGCCAAGAGACAGGUGCUGCAUGGCUGUCGUCAGCUCGUGUCGUGAGAUGUUGGGUUAAGUCCUAUAACGAGCGCAACCCCUGUCGUUAGUUGCCAGCAAGUAAAGUUGGGGACUCUAGGGAGACUGCCGGUGAUAAACCGGAGGAAGGUGGGGAUGAUGUCAAGUCAUCAUGGCCCUUAUGAGUAGGGCUACACACGUGCUACAAUGGUUGGUACAAAAGGAAGCCAAGUCGCGAGGCGGAGCAAAUCCUCUAAAGCCAAUCGUAGUCCGGAUUGGAGUCUGCAACUCGACUCCAUGAAGUUGGAAUCGCUAGUAAUCGUGGAUCAGCAUGCCACGGUGAAUACGUUCCCGGGCCUUGUACACACCGCCCGUCACACCAUGGGAGUGGGUUGUACCAGAAGUAGGUAGGCUAACCGCAAGGGGGCCGCUUACCACGGUAUGGUUCAUGACUGGGGUG
rnacentral:rRNA from 1 species